GAUGAAGAACGUAGCGAAAUGCGAUAAGUAAUGUGAAUUGCAGAAUUCAGUGAAUCAUCGAAUCUUUGAACGCACAUUGCGCCCCCUGGCAUUCCGGGGGGCAUGCCUGUCCGAGCGUCAUUGCUGCCCUUCAAGCCCGGCUUGUGUGUUGGGUCGUCGUCCCCCCCGGGGGACGGGCCCGAAAGGCAGCGGCGGCACCGCGUCCGGUCCUCGAGCGUAUGGGGCUUUGUCACCCGCUCGAUUAGGGCCGGCCGGGCGCCAGCCGGCGUCUCCAACCUUCUAUUUUACCAGGUUGACCUCGGAUCAGGUAGGGAUACCCGCUGAACUUAAGCAUAUCAAUAAGCGGAGG
rnacentral:misc_RNA from 1 species